rnacentral:rRNA from 1 species
AACGAACGCUGGCGGCAUGCCUAACACAUGCAAGUCGAACGAGACCUUCGGGUCUAGUGGUGCACGGGUGCGUAAAGCGUGGGAACCUGCCCUUAGAUUCGGAAUAACUCCCCGUAAGGGGUGCUAAUACCGGAUAAUGUCUUCGGACACAAGAUUUAUCGCCCUUGUAUGGGCCGGCGUUGGAUUAGCUAGUAGGUAGGGUAAAAGCCUACCAAGGCUACGAUCCAUAGCUGGUAUGAGAGCAUGAUCAGCCACACUAGGACUGAGACCCGGCCCAGAUUCUUAAGGGUGGGAGCAGUGGGGAAUAUGGGACAACGCGCGAAUGCCGGAUGCAGCAAUGCCGUGAGAGUGUUGAAUGGCUUAAGGAUGUAAAGCUCUUAUACCCGCGAUGAUAAUGAGGUAACCGGAGGAAAAAGAUCCGGUUACUUCGGU